rnacentral:tRNA from 1 species
GAUCCCAUAGUGUAGUGGUUAUCACUCUGGUUUCUGAUGCUGGCAACUGGGGUUCGAAUCCCCAUGGGGUCU